AUGAUGUUCCUGUAUUCUCUUCUACUCCUCUCAGCUAUACAAUGGAAGAGUUUGGCACAGUCAGUAAAACCACUGAAUGAUGUAGUAAAUGCAGCAGUGGGUCACAGCAUUGUUCUCUCUUGUGAAUAUAAGAGUACUGAUGAUCUGCAGUGGUAUCGUCAGUAUGCUGGAUCUACACCAGAGUUUAUUGUUUCUAUCGGUACACAUCAGUCCUCUGAGAACUCAAACAUUCCUGGUUUAUCAGCAACAAUUAAUGGAUCAGAAAACCUUGUGAAUCUGAAGAUCUCCUCUGCUGCAGUAUCAGAUUCUGCUCUGUACUAUUGUGCCAUGAGGCCCACAGUAACAGGAAACUCUACAAUGCUGUACAAAAACCAGUGUAUGCAGACACAGACUGAGUAACACUUGCUUUAUCUUUUAGGCUUUAUGACACACUUAUAAAGCCACAUUCUAUACAUUUAAAUAUAAACUAGAAUAAUGCCUGACAAGUAUUAAGGCAUUUGUCAUUGUUAUAACUCACUCACUCGCUCACUAUCGCUCAACUUUCAUCACUAUAUAGUGUUCAAAUGUUUAAUACCUGUAUAGAGUAAAAAGAAACAACUGACGUAGUGUAUAGCAAAAACUGUAAUGGUUAAGGUGCAACCUUUAAUAAUAA